GGGGAUUUAGCUCAGAGGCAUAAGCACCUGUCUUGCAAGCAGGCAGUCCUGGGUUUGAUCCCCGGUACCA
rfam:Cavia porcellus supercont2_10 genomic scaffold, whole genome shotgun sequence.